UACGGAGGGUGCAAGCGUUGUUCGGAAUUAUUGGGCGUAAAGCGCGUGCAGGCGGCUGCUCAAGUCUGAUGUGAAAGCCCGGGGCUCAACCCCGGAAGUGCAUUGGAAACUGGGCGGCUUGAGUACGGGAGAGGGAGGUAGAAUUCCGAGUGUAGGGGUGAAAUCCGUAGAUAUUCGGAGGAAUACCGGUGGCGAAGGCGGCCUCCUGGACCGAUACUGACGCUGAGACGCGAAAGCGUGGGGAG
rnacentral:rRNA from 1 species